UUUCAGACCUAGGGAUUUGGAGGAGGAUGAGCCGUCACUUGAUUUUAUUCUUCCUUGCUUGAACCGUCAUUCUCUGGACUGAGAGACAUGUGCUUCACAGUUUUCUCUGAGGGAUUAAUGGAAGAGCUCAUUUUUCGUUUUCUUAUUCUAUAGUUGCCGCCGCUCUUUCUUUUUACUGCAACUUUAAACGUUUCUUUGGACUGAACUCUGGAAGCAACCACUUAUGAUGGGCAUUUGCUUUUGAACUUUGAUUUUGCUGGGGAAACUAUUGAACAUUUCACUGUUGCAUUUAUUUUUGUGGGAGGAACGUUGGUUUCUUAUGCAUAUAAAAAAAAGUUGUUGCAGCUGUUGUCUCCUUAGAAGAUUAUCAUUUUCAACUUCACUUUACUUUGGAGGAUAAGGCAGUUCCAGCUAGGAACGUGGUCCAUCUCACGGUUCAUUAUGAUUGCACACGUCCUGGAAGAAGCUAGCUUGAGAAUGGAGUGAUGUUCUCGUUAUUUGAGAUAAACUAAGGAGAUUAAUAUGGUGUUAGAUGGUUACAAGGAAGAGAGAUGCGCUAAUUGAUUGGAGAAAGAAAUUCCUUCACGGUUUUGGUUGCAGAGGAUAGAGUUCAUUUACAAAAUGGGGUAUUAUGUGGAAGGUGCUGCACCAUUGUUUUAGUUGAAUAAAAAAAUUGAUACAGCAUGGAGUCAUGGCUUGGUAUUUCACGGUUUUUGCUGAAUGACAAUGAGUGUGGGGUCCGUUAAUUGUAUGCUACUAGGAGAGAGGAAUCCUUGUUGAUGGUUGUGGUUUUUGGAACUUUGAAGUCAAAGGUGCAUUGCAUUGAUGAGGAAAGAGUGUUAUUCACUUGCAGAGGUGUUACGGUUUCAACAUUUUACCACUUGAAUGCUAUUUAAUUUAUUUGGCUUUUAAGGAAUUGUAGAAGUGAGUAGAUGGGAGGAAGAAAGUCAUGUCUGCACUGCUACGGUUUCAGAGAAGAAAAUUAGCAUUUUAAUUUGCUUGUACUUUCAUUUUGUUUUGUUGGUGUGAGAGGAAGAUUAGGUAGAAGUUGGUGGGAUGUCAUGUCUUGCUAGGAGCAAAAGUUGGUUGACUUUUCUUUGACAAGCAUUGAUUCAUUUCACUCUAGAAGUUAAUUCAUGGCAAGCAAGGUCACGGCAAAGAGGGGUUUAUGAUUGAUUUGUUGAUGAAGAUGGUUGGAAGAGUACUUGAUUCCUUUGAGAAAUUUAGGACUCAUGCUAAAGAAGGUGCAGACGGUUUUUGACCUUGGAAGAAGAGAAUUCACUCUUUUGUGUUUUUGGCAAUUGAAAAUCGUGACUCAUUGCCCUUGGGAGAAG
rnacentral:lncRNA from 1 species